rnacentral:rRNA from 1 species
UAGGUCCUACGGGGGGCAGCAGUGGGGAAUAUUGCACAAUGGGGGGAACCCUGAUGCAGCGACGCCGCGUGAGUGAAGAAGUAUUUCGGUAUGUAAAGCUCUAUCAGCAGGGAAGAAGAUGACGGUACCUGACUAAGAAGCCCCGGCUAACUACGUGCCAGCAGCCGCGGUAAUACGUAGGGGGCAAGCGUUAUCCGGAUUUACUGGGUGUAAAGGGAGCGUAGACGGCAGGGCAAGUCUGGGGUGAAAGCCCGGGGCCCAACCCCGGGACUGCUUUGGAAACUGCCAUGCUAGAGUGAUGGGGG